rnacentral:tRNA from 1 species
GGGUGCUUAGCUCAGCUGGAAGAGCGGCGCCCUUACAAGGCGUAGGUCGGGGGUUCGAUCCCCUCAGCACCCACCA